CGACAGAGAAUGAUCGAAGAAGGUCUCUGACCUUCAGCAAUAGCUUCAAGAUGCCGAGGCGAGCUAUGACGCGUACCGGACUGACUGGUGCAGGCAGGUGGAUGAAUACAAGGGGAAGCUCAGAAUGACGACCGACGAGGUUGCCCGCCUUCAAAGGCAGCUAGCUGAGGGGGCUCAGUCUGCUCCCGUUCGAGAUUCUGAUGAACUCCAAUCCCUG
rnacentral:lncRNA from 1 species